AGAGUUUGAUCCUGGCUCAGAUUGAACGCUGGUGGCAUGCCUUACACAUGCAAGUCGAACGGCAGCGCGGGAGCAAUCCUGGCGGCGAGUGGCGAACGGGUGAGUAAUAUAUCGGAACGUGCCCAGUAGUGGGGGAUAGCCCGGCGAAAGCCGGAUUAAUACCGCAUACGACCUACGGGUGAAAGCGGGGGAUCGCAAGACCUCGCGCUAUUGGAGCGGCCGAUAUCAGAUUAGCUUGUUGGUGGGGUAAAAGCCCACCAAGGCGACGAUCUGUAGCUGGUCUGAGAGGACGACCAGCCACACUGGGACUGAGACACGGCCCAGACUCCUACGGGAGGCAGCAGUGGGGAAUUUUGGACAAUGGACGCAAGUCUGAUCCAGCCAUGCCGCGUGCGGGAAGAAGGCCUUCGGGUUGUAAACCGCUUUUGUCAGGGAAGAAAAGUUUCGGGCGAAUAACCUGGGAUGAUGACGGUACCUGAAGAAUAAGCACCGGCUAACUACGUGCCAGCAGCCGCGGUAAU
rnacentral:rRNA from 1 species